GUGUCAGCCGCCGCGGUAACACGUAGGGCGCAAGCGUUGUCCGGAAUUAUUGGGCGUAAAGAGCUCGUAGGCGGUCUGUUGCGUCCGCUGUGAAAACUCGGGGCUUAACCCCGAGCCUGCAGUGGAUACGGGCAGACUAGAGGUAGGUAGGGGAGAAUGGAAUUCCCGGUGUAGCGGUGAAAUGCGCAGAUAUCGGGAGGAACACCAGUGGCGAAGGCGGAGACCUGGGCCGAUACUGACGCCGAGGUGCGAAAGCGUGGGGAGCAAACAGGAUUAGAUACCCUGGUAGUCCACGCCGUAAACGUUGGGCGCUAGGUGUGGGGUCCUUCCACGGAUUCCGUGCCGCAGCUAACGCAUUAAGCGCCCCGCCUGGGGAGUACGGCCGCAAGGCUAAAACUCAAAGGAAUUGACGG
rnacentral:rRNA from 1 species